rnacentral:lncRNA from 1 species
UUGAGGGAUUUAUUUCUGGCUACCGUACGCAUCUCUUAUAUGUCAUGUCGUGAGAAUGAGAUACGCGGCUCCUAUCGGGUUCGUUGACACGUCGAGUGGCUUGCUGAAUUUGUUUUACCUUUCUCGAACGUCUUGUGCACUAAGAUUUUGAGGAUAACUUGGGCUAUCUUGAGGUUGAGGUUUUCCAACGUAGCUUGUGCCUAGUUUAUGAUGGUUGAGUUGGAGCACCCUUGCAGGGUUAAAAAAAAUUUAGAGUCAUGCCCGCGGUUAUGUGGCAACUUGGAAAUUUGUUUAACACCCGGUCAUAGAAAAUUUGAAGUAAACUUAAAUAAAAUACACCAACCAUGUGUGUAACCAUGAUCGUGUCUUCUUGUAAGGUUUGAACCAAGAAGGGAACACACUGGAGUUAUGAUUGACUCGUAAGUAGGUGUUCAUGAUCACUUCUUGAUCAUUUCUAGUUCACGUUCGAUUAUGCGUAGAAUUCUCUUCUUAUUCUUGUACUCGUAAGUUAGCCACUCAAAUAAUGCUUAGUGCUUGUUGUGACCUCAUCACUUAAC